AUUUAAACCUCUAAUUUGACUUUGCAGGGAAGUGUCAAGGCCAGGAUUUGAGGCAUUUGGCGUAGCAGUUUGAUUUUGCAAUCCUCUGACUUGGAGGUCAUCCUUGGAGUUGGAGCUUACUUCGUCGUUUCCUGCUAUUGCAUGUGAAGAAAUCCUCUCUUCCCCUACUCUGGGUUCUACAACCUGAACUUCUCUUUGUACCCUUCCAGUACCUCGUCCCAUAUUUUCAAUCUUAAUGUUUUGUUCUUGUGGACAAGUUGAAAUUCCAGAAUCAGUAACAUUGAUUGAACUUUCUGUGCUUUUAAGUCUUUUGUUGCCACCACACACAGCUAGAAAGGCCGCUUCUUGAACUUCUUUAGUCACCCCACGACAAAUGGCAACAUUAUGCCCUUCCUCUCUUGAUAAAUGCCAUUUGAUCCUUGAAAUGGAGGUUUUAUUGGCAAAUGUAUGUGGACAAAACUUACACUUCAUGCUACCAUCUGCCCUAUCUUCAAUAUAAUUCCAAUAUGGAUCCUUUGAUCCAACCAUAUCAACCUAUAGAAAAAAAAAGAGGGUCAAAAUAAAGAAUAAAAAUUGAUGGAAGUUACACCAUAUCCAGAUGGAAGAGAAACUACUUAAGCGCUGUUACCCUUAUUUUGCUAUUAAAAUUGAUAGUUAGUUUAUUGCACAAUCAUAGGAGGGAAAAAGACGACAAUAAUUUAGUUAGACUUCUUACUUGUUCAGUAUUUAAACCUCUAAUUUGACUUUGCAGGGAAGUGUCAAGGCCAGGAUUUGAGGCAUUUGGCGUAGCAGUUUGAUUUUGCAAUCCUCUGACUUGGAGGUCAUCCUUGGAGUUGGAGCUUACUUCGUCGUUUCCUGCUAUUGCAUGUGAAGAAAUCCUCUCUUCCCCUACUCUGGGUUCUACAACCUGAACUUCUCUUUGUACCCUUCCAGUACCUCGUCCCAUAUUUUCAAUCUUAAUGUUUUGUUCUUGUGGACAAGUUGAAAUUCCAGAAUCAGUAACAUUGAUUGAACUUUCUGUGCUUUUAAGUCUUUUGUUGCCACCACACAUAGCUAGAAAGGCCGCUUCUUGAAUUUCUUUAGUCACCCCACGACAAAUGGCAACAUUAUGCCCUUCCUCUCUUGAUAAAUGCCAUUUGAUCCUUGAAAUGGAG
rnacentral:lncRNA from 1 species